AGUAAAAAGAACAUGGAAGAGAUUCUGUACCUGGUGGCACAACAGGAAGCCACCAUGGAAGAGCAGCAUCAACAUCACAGGCUGCCCUGCUUAAUCUUUUAAGAAGAAGAGCCCAGUUGAUGGGGAACUAGCCAUCAGUUGGCUACCAGGCAAGGCCUAGCAGUUCUUUAUCCAAGUGGAGACCAGAUGACCCUGAAGCCUAUCAUAUCAUAUAUGAGGGAGUAGUGAAAGCAGCCAGGACGCAGCCCAAGAUCAGAGCUGCCAGACCUCAACACCCUGCCAACUGUAUUGGGCAGAAGCUGGAAUCCCCAGACAACCUGAUCCUGAUUGGCCACCAGAAAAAGUUCAUCUGCCUUAUUGGUAGUGGAGCAUCACAGUGUUCUGUUAAAGUGAACUUCCUGCUGUGCACAGAGGGUAGAGUCUCAGUGGAAACAAUCUGCUAUGUGACAGUCUUGUCCUUGUUACAUGCUUCUCUCUAGCACUGAAGAGCAGAUCAUUGCUUCAAGAACUGUUUACAGAGACAUAGCUGCUGUUUGGCUCCCAAGUUGAGCCAGUGAGUGUAACCAGGCAGUGAACAGCAGGAAUUCUGCAAUGAACACACUUCAAAUUAUUCCAACAAAGAGCAGCAACCCCUUUCAAGAGACUUUGUUUUUCUUGCUGAAGUCAAUCUGUAGGGAAAUGUUUGCUGGAUUAAGUGACUAGAUUAAUAACCUCUACCGAAAAGGGGAUUCCCAUUGCCAGAGUGAGCCCUGUAUAAAGAAAAAAAAAUGAAUUGA